rnacentral:rRNA from 1 species
UACGGAGGGUGCGAGCGUUGUCCGGAAUCACUGGGCGUAAAGGGCGCGUAGGCGGCGCGGGAAGUCCGUGGUGAAAGCCCGAGGCUCAACUUCGGGUCGGCCAUGGAUACUCCUGGGCUUGAGCACUGUAGAGGCAGGUGGAAUUCCGGGUGUAGCGGUGGAAUGCGUAGAGAUCCGGAAGAACACCGGUGGCGAAGGCGGCCUGCUGGGCAGUAGCUGACGCUGAGGCGCGACAGCGUGGGGAGCAAACAGGAUUGAGAAACCC